rnacentral:rRNA from 1 species
GAUGGUUGUCGUCAGCUCGUGUCGUGAGAUGUUGGUUAAGUCCGCAACGAGCGCAACCCUACGUUAGUUGCUAACGCGUGAAGGCGAGCACUCUAGACGAACUGCCGUUGACAAAACGGAGGAAGGUGGGGAUGACGUCAAAUCAUCAUGCCCCUUAUGUUCUGGGCUACACACGUGCUACAAUGGCCGGUACAGACGGACGCAAAGCCGCGAGGUGGAGCAAAUCCUAAAAAGCCGGUCUCAGUUCGGAUUGCAGGCUGCAAUUCGCCUGCAUGAAGUCGGAAUCGCUAGUAAUCGCAGGUCAGCAUACUGCGGUGAAUACGUUCCCGGGCCUU